rnacentral:rRNA from 1 species
GACGAACGCUGGCGGCGUGCUUAACACAUGCAAGUCGAGCGAGAAACCCUCUUCGGAGGGGAGUACAGCGGCGAACGGGUGAGUAACACGUGGGCAACCUGCCCCAAGGAGCGGGACAACCCGGGGAAACCCGGGCUAAUACCGCAUGAUCCGUGAUGCCUCAAGGCAUCUCGGGAAAUGGUAGCUUCGGCCUCCGCCUUGGGAUGGGCCCGCGGCGCAUUAGCUUGUUGGUGAGGUAACGGCUCACCAAGGCGACGAUGCGUAGCUGGUCUGAGAGGACGAUCAGCCACACUGGGACUGAGACACGGCCCAGACUCCUACGGGAGGCAGCAGUGGGGAAUCUUGCGCAAUGGGCGGAAGCCUGACGCAGCAACGCCGCGUGAGGGAAGAAGGCCUUCGGGUUGUAAACCUCUUUCAGGGGGGACGAAGCCACCGGGGUUAAUAGCCCACGGGGUGACGGUACCCCCAGAAGAAGCCCCGGCUAACUACGUGCCAGCCGCCGCAGUAAGAC